UUAAUUCAUAAAGAAGGGUGUGAGUUUAACUAGCAAAAGGAAAACAUUAAUUGUGAACUAUUGUACUUGUCUAAAUGUCUGUUCAUGUUUUCGAAACCGAUUUUUCUGCAGACGACAGUAUUGAAGAUCUGGACUUUAAUACUACUGGAAGUAAACGAAAGAGCUCAUUAAGUGCGAAAUCAGGACCGGCCCUAAAAAAAGUCCGUGUGAAUUCACAAAAAAUUAUUUUCAAAUAAGAAUUUUACACAGAAGUGGAAAAAAUUUCCGACAAGACAACCUGUGCUAAGUGCGUUGCAUGUCAUCGAGUGAUUAGAGGAAGCGGUGAAGUGACUUCAAAUUUCAUCAAACAUUUGCAAGUCAAGCAUAGUGAAUGUUUUAAAACAUACAAAAGUUAUAAAACAGGUAGCCCUUUUGGCGGUAACAUGCAAUCUGAGUUCGAUGGUAAACUGUUACAUGCAAUGAUUGAUUGUUCAUUGCCCCUUUCCAUUCUGGAAAAAAAUCCUUUAUAGAUCUUUUUCAAAGUACAGAUAUGAAGGUGAUGUGUCAGAAUGUUUUCAAUGCAAAUUUUUCAAAACGAAAUGUAAAUAUAAAA